rnacentral:misc_RNA from 1 species
CUCAAACAUGAAACAACCUAAAGAACUGUAUGGCGAAAGACUGCCUUCGCCUGCCUAUAAAUUCAGCAGUAGAUACUGAUACAGCCCAUGCUGAAAAAAGCUACAAGCUUUAGAUCAAAACAUUAACAUGCAGACGAUCAAGAAAACUUAAACGGCGAGAUCAAAAUAACUGAAGUUUGGAUUAAACCAAAAUUUCAACACAAGAUAACAAGAUAGUCUUAACUUAUUUAUCAGAUAUCUAUACAUUCUAUAAGCAGCAUUGGCUAAUACUUGAGGGGGUCUCUUCCUUCUCCUCAAUUACACCAUGCCGCCUAGCUUUCAACCCUCUACAACAUAUGGUAACAGGAAAUAUCUUGACUAAGAGAGUUGUAAGCGAUUAAAAAUCCACCUGAUAAUGAAGACCAAUUAUAAUGGGGUGUGCCAAUCUCGGGGAACAAGCUAUAUCUAUGAAGCCCCGACUGACUAUAUACGUUUCACCACACCGAAGCAAGAUAUUCCAAUUUGGUACUAGCCAUGAUAUUGGUGAAACGU